rnacentral:rRNA from 1 species
AGUGAACGCUGGCGGCAGGCCUAACACAUGCAAGUCGAGCGGAUGAGAGGAGCUUGCUUCUCGAUUCAGCGGCGGACGGGUGAGUAAUGCCUAGGAAUCUGCCUGGUAGUGGGGGACAACGUUUCGAAAGGAACGCUAAUACCGCAUACGUCCUACGGGAGAAAGCAGGGGACCUUCGGGCCUUGCGCUAUCAGAUGAGCCUAGGUCGGAUUAGCUAGUUGGUGAGGUAAUGGCUCACCAAGGCGACGAUCCGUAACUGGUCUGAGAGGAUGAUCAGUCACACUGGAACUGAUACACGGGCCAGACGCCUACGGGAGGCAGCAGUGGGGAAUAUUGGACAAUGGGCGAAAGCCUGAUCCAGCCAUGCCGCGUGUGUGAAGAAGGUCUUCGGAUUGUAAAGCACUUUAAGUUGGGAGGAAGGGUUGUAGAUUAAUACUCUGCAAUUUUGACGUUACCGACAGAAUAAGCACCGGCUAACUCUGUGCCAGCAGCCGCCGUAAUAC